UACGUAGGGUGCGAGCGUUAAUCGGAAUUACUGGGCGUAAAGCGUGCGCAGGCGGCGCGUUAAGACAGGUGUGAAAAGCCCCCGAGCUUAACUUGGGAAUUGCGCUUGUGACUGGCGUGCUGGAGUGUGGCAGAGGGAGGUGGAAUUCCACGUGUAGCAGUGAAAAUGCGUAGAUAUGUGGAGGAACACCGAUGGCGAAGGCAGCCUUCUGGGCCAACACUGACGCUCAUGCACGAAAGCGUGGGGAGCAAACAGG
rnacentral:rRNA from 1 species